ensembl:lncRNA
ACUGCCUUGGGAUGUGGCGACGUGCAGGGCUGGAGUGUGCAUUUAUGUGCUAUCAGUAUGUAAACAGACCCAUUUCCUCCGACUCGAAUAGCUUUGUGUGUAUGUGUGUGUGACUGUGUGCUGGGUCAAUCUAGUCUCUGUGACCUUGCAAAGUGCAGGGGAGUAAUUGGCAGGAUACGUCAGAAUCGAGUGGACUUUGAAAGCCCGGCUGCGUCAAUCAAUAGACAUCUUAAAGGAGGGAGGCUGGCCUGCAUCAAAAGGGCCGGCAGACAAUAUUUUCAAAGAAGGAGCAGAGGAGUGGAGUUAUAGAAGUUUCCGAAUUCAGCACUUCUCAUAUCCACUCAGUGUCAGUGUGACUGGACUGGAGGUCAGAGGAGUCCGUGGGCAUUCUUCUCUUCCGUCAAGACAGAUGAAAGGGGGUGCAGCAGAGCAGUUGCACCAUCAGAGGAAGGUGUGAGUGAGGAGUCAGAUGACAAGGAACCUAGAGGAGAAACUGGACACAAAGGUAUAAGAGAUAGACAGGAGAGAGAGGAGAGAGAGAGAGAGAGAGAGAGAGAGAGGAGAGGGAGAGAGAGACAGUGAGAGGGAGAGAGGGAGACAGAGAGAGAGAGGGAGAGAGAGACAGAGAGAGGGAGAGAGGGAGACAGUGAGAGAGAGACAGAGAGAGAGAGAGAGAGUGCUGGAGACAGUGAGAGGGAGAGAGGGAGACAGAGAGAGAGGGAGAGAGAGACAGCGAGAGAGAGAGAGAGAGAGAGAGUAGUGCUGGAGACAGUGAGAGGGAGAGAGUGAGACAGUGAGAGGGAGAGAGUGAGACAGUGAGAGGGAGAGAGGGAGACGGAGAGAUGUUGAGGAACUGGGAGAGAGCAAAUGAAAGAGAUAUCAUGAGGCAGAAAGGGCGAGGUAGACAUGCCUGCAGGAGAAAAAAGCACUGCCAGUGGAAAGAUUGAGAGAGGGAUUUGAGUGAAAAGGUCAAAUGGAUAGAGAUAGUGAGAGAGAGAUGGAGUAGAUGAGAACGGAAGAGAGAGAAAGAGAGUUGUGAGGAGAGAGUAAGCUUCUUAAACGGGGCACGUGAGCAAUGGGCCAAACAGCCAGCAGUCACUCACAGCCUGAAGAAAACACUCACAGAUUAAAGAUUAGCCUCAAGAUGGGCCAGACGCAGGAGAGAAGGAAAGAGAAAGAAAGAGAGAGAGGGAGAGAGAGAAUCCAGAGGAGACAGAGUAAGAAAAAAGGUUGAUGGACGAUAAAUACAUUUGAUUCUGAGCGCAGCCCAAAAGAAUGAAAGGAGGGGAACGAGUGUGCAUGCUGAUCACACAGGGAGUUAGGAUGUAAUUUAAAACUGAUUAAAGGAAGCGGCAGACAUAGGAGAAAUGUACGUAAGAUAAGAAGAAUGGAGAGACUGAGAAAGCAAUCCAGAGGCAGAGAGAGACGCUGGGGGAAAGAAAAUGGCGAAAGCGAGGACGGAGAGAUUCAAAUAACAGAUAUGAUGGGAAGACAGACUGAGUCUUCAAAAAACUGAAUCAUCUUUUGAGUCUUGACAAAAACACAUGAUCUAUAUUGUAGCACAGGCG